rnacentral:pre_miRNA from 1 species
UAGACAAAUUAUUGUAUUCGACUGUAUUCACGAUAUGUAUUUGUGAAUACAGUAACGUAAAUAGCACAAUUCAUGGUCUAUUCAGUUAUUUUUUAACAAAAAGUGAAUCAAUUAACACAAUAGACUCCU